GGGGACGUAGCUCAGUUGGUAGAGCACCUGCUUUGCAAGCAGGGGGUCGUCGGUUCGAGCCCGAUCGUCUCCA
rnacentral:tRNA from 1 species